rnacentral:rRNA from 1 species
GACGAACGCUGGCGGCGUGCUUAACACAUGCAAGUCGAACGGAAAGGCCCUGCUUUUGUGGGGUGCUCGAGUGGCGAACGGGUGAGUAACACGUGAGUAACCUGCCCUUGACUUUGGGAUAACUUCAGGAAACUGGGGCUAAUACCGGAUAGGAGCUCCUGCUGCAUGGUGGGGGUUGGAAAGUUUCGGCGGUUGGGGAUGGACUCGCGGCUUAUCGGCUUGUUGGUGGGGUAGUGGCUUACCAAGGCUUUGACGGGUAGCCGGCCUGAGAGGGUGACUGGCCACAUUGGGACUGAGAUACGGCCCAGACUCCUACGGGAGGCAGCAGUGGGGAAUAUUGCACAAUGGGCGGAAGCCUGAUGCAGCAACGCCGCGUGCGGGAUGACGGCCUUCGGGUUGUAAACCGCUUUCGCCUGUGACGAAGCGUGAGUGACGGUAAUGGGUAAAGAAGCACCGGCUAACUACGUG